UACGUAGGGGGCAAGCGUUGUCCGGAUUUAUUGGGCGUAAAGCGCACGCAGGCGGUCUUUUACGUUUUGAGUGACAGGUGGGGGCUUAACUCCCACAGGCCUCAGAAGACGGGAAGACUUGAGGGCUUCAGAGGGACGCGGAAUUCCAGGUGGAGCGGUGAAAUGCGUAGAGAUCUGGAAGAACACCAAAGGCGAAGGCAGCGUCCUGGGAAGCAUCUGACGCUCAGGUGCGAAAGCUAGGGGAGCGAACGGG
rnacentral:rRNA from 1 species